UACGUAGGGACCAAGCGUUGUUCGGAUUUACUGGGCGUAAAGGGCGCGUAGGCGGUAGCACAAGUCAGUUGUGAAAUCUCCGGGCUUAACUCGGAAAGGUCAACUGAUACUGUGCGACUAGAGUGCAGAAGGGGCAACUGGAAUUCUCGGUGUAGCGGUGAAAUGCGUAGAUAUCGAGAGGAACACCUGCGGCGAAGGCGGGUUGCUGGGCUGACACUGACGCUGAUGCGCGAAAGCCAGGGGAGCGAACGGG
rnacentral:rRNA from 1 species